GAUAGCAAAUUAUACGUUAUUAAUAUUGAUACAAGUAUUUUAUUAUCAAACUAUUGCAAAUUAUCAUAUAUGUCAUUUUUCAAAAAUUGACUAAAAGGUAGUGGAUACUGUUAAUUACUAUUAUGCUAAGAUCUUGUACUAAAAUAAUGUUAAAACCAUUACGUUUCCAUUACCAUACAUACGUUUCCAUUUCCUCGUAUAAAAAGAACAUUCAUAUCAUCUGCCAUUUUAAAAUAACAUCAUUUAAAUAUUGAAUUUGCUUCUGAAAUAUUAAUUUGUCUCAUUUCUUUAACUCUAACACAUUGUAAACAAUGAUGACAUUAUACCAACUAUAAUACUAAAAAUCUAUUCCCCAUUCAUUCGAAAGAUUAUUUUUUGAAGCAAGGUUAACAUUGAAUGUUCCCAAACUUCAAUAACUGUACUUUACUUUCUUUACAAUAUCUAACAAUAUAUUAGAAUACUAUAAAAAAAUAUUGUAUGCACAAGAAACUGUUUAUAGCGAAAUAGCAAAAGAAUUAAUCACAUAUUAUAACUAAAACGAGAUUGUUAAGUAGAUUAUAUUAUACUGCAUAUGCGUUAGUGUUUCAGCUGGUAAAUAUAGUUUUUAUAUCUGAAGAUAAAUAAGAUUUAAUUCUAUAAAAUUGCAUAAUGAAUUAUACAUCUAUCUAUUACUAUUCGUAUUUCCCCUUAGUUGUAUGUUGUCAAUAGCAUCAAUCACGAACAUAUAAAUAAAUAUAGAAGAAACCGUUCGGAAAUGGAAAGGGAAAAAUGAACAUGGAAGACAAGAAAGUUUUCUUCAGGUUUAGCGUAUGCGUGAUACGCUUUGAAUGUCUCAGAUAAAGAUAAAGAUACUCUGCUCAUUUCUAUUUGUUCCGCAGAACGAGAAAUUUGUUGUCUUUCAUAUUGGUUUUUACGAUUCAAUUUUUGGGCAGUUUUCCCUAGCGAGUGUCGGUUCCUGUUUGAUAUAACCAGACCGUAAUUUAUACAGAUAUGUAUUAUAGAUAUAUAUUUGUAAAACUGAAAUCAGAUGAAAUAAAUGUUGCCUGAGGUUUUAAACGUUUAAUAAAAACAAUAUUUCAUUUGAAAAAAAUGUAAGAUAUGUAAAAUUACACAUUGAUCAUUUUGCUGGUCUUGUAUCAUAAAACGUGUGGCCCGAAGAGCACGUGUCCGGUAGAGAUACGUCACUUGUGUUAGGAAUCGUUUUAUAACCUAUCACAGUAAAGGAACGUCCCAGUAUAGCAGCCGAAGAAUGCAGUGGAAGUUUUUGUACAAAGUACAAUUGAUCUACAAUUGAUAUUUUCCGCAAUACUUAUCUGGUGUUCAGUCAGGGUGUCCCAUACUCAUGAUAUUUAUGACAGUGGAAUGGCGUUAGUAAAUCAAUUACAAAAAUUUUCGAGAUCAAUUCUCGGUAUUGCAUCAAAUUAUUCAAAAUAUACAAGCAACACAACGUUGCCCUUUUUGCAGGCAACAAGAGGAAUAUCGACCACGCAACCACUUUCAGAAAAACAAGAGAGUAUAACAUCUAGAAAAAUAACAUAGUAUUAAUAGAAUAGUAUUAAUAAGAACAACAUUGACAGUGAACAACUAAAAAUAUAACACUGUUAUAAAUAUAUGAUAUACGAAUUUUAUUUAUGUAUUAUUAAGACAAGUAUAUCUUAUUUUUAAAUUAUUUCUAUUAUCAUAAGUGAUACAUAUAAUUAAGAGUAAAUAUAACGUUUGUUAAAGCAAGUGGAGAGAGAAUCAAAGCAAAAGGGAAAGUAGGAGAUACUAUAUUAGACAUAGUAGUAAAUAAUGAAAUUGAUUUAGGUGGAUAUGGUCACGGCUAGGCUGUCAAAUAGUAAUGUCUAAGGAACUAGAUGGAAUUGAGGUAAGAGUUCCAUCAACAAUUAAUGAUGCAAGAGCAUAACUGAAAUUAUCUAUAGGUUUUUGAAAAUUUGUAUACAAUGUUAUACAUCUCUUGUUAAAAAACCCUUGUUAUAAUUAUUAAAAUAUUGGUAUUAAAAAAAUAUAAUAAAGAAUCUUGUGUUUAAAUGUGAAGCUUAUAUAUAUACAUAUGUUAUAGUAUAAUUGCAAUUUUGAUAUUUGUACAUUGCCAUUGUAAAAAGCCUAUCCAAUUAUGAAGAAAAUAUAUCUUUUAUUUUUAAUAUA